rnacentral:rRNA from 1 species
CAGCCGUAAACAAUGUGCGUUAGGUGUGUCGGUAACCACGCGUUACUGAUGCGCCGAAGAGAAAUCGUGAAACGCACCACCUGGGAAGUACGGUCGCAAGGCUGAAACUUAAAGGAAUUGGCGGAGGAGCACCACAACAGGUGGAGCCUGCGGUUUAAUUGGAUUCAACGCCGGACAUCUCACCGGAUAAGACAGCUGGAUGAUUGUCAAUCUGAAGGUUUUACAUGACUAGCUGAGAGGUGGUGCAUGGCGGUCAGUGACU